GCCAGGUGCAGUGGAGCAUACCUGUAAUCCCAGCAGCUAGGGAGGCUGAGAUAGGAGGGUGGCAAUUUUGAGACCAGUCUUAGCAGGUUAGUGAGGCCCUAAGCAAUUAGGGACACCCUGUCUCAA
rnacentral:sRNA from 1 species